rnacentral:rRNA from 1 species
UACGGAGGAUGCAAGCGUUAUCCGGAAUGAUUGGGCGUAAAGCGUCCGCAGGUGGCUAUGUAAGUCUGCUGUUAAAGAGCGAGGCUCAACCUCAUAAGAGCAGUGGAAACUACAUGGCUAGAGUGCGUUCGGGGCAGAGGGAAUUCCUGGUGUAGCGGUGAAAUGCGUAGAGAUCAGGAAGAACACCGGUGGCGAAAGCGCUCUGCUAGGCCGCAACUGACACUCAUGGACGAAAGCUAGGGGAGCGAAUGGG